AUUACAGGCGUCAGCCACGCGCCCGGCCACAAGCAUUAGUAUUUACUUCCGUAAUUUCCCCAUGCCCAUGUAACAUCACACACACACACACACACACACACACACACGUUUGCUUUUGUUUUCCAAGAUGGCAUCUAGUAGGCGCUUCUCUUUGUUUUGCUUUUCUAGUACACCGUGGAACCCCAAAUCCCAGCUGGGAUUCACUCUUUUCUAAUGGCUGAACAUUCAUCCGGGGCAUGAAGGCAGCUCAGUUCAUUUCAUCAUUCCUUUGUUUCCUCUGUUUUGCCACCAGAAACUGCCGCGAUGAAUGUCAGUCCCCAGAGCCGGAACCGUUCCCGGUUUUCUCUACUUGGAUCUGAGAACUCUGUCCCUCCAGCCCUGCGAGCGCUUUGCCAGGGUGACGGGCGGAAAUGUCCCCGCAUCCGUGCCUGCUUUCCCAGAUGGGACCCUCCAGCAGUCCCCUCCACUGCCCGUGCUUCCUCCUAACCACUUCCCCCCAGCGACCGCGGAAGGCGCUUCCUCCCCCGCAGCGCGAGCCCCAAGCUCCUCCAGAGCCCCAGCUCUCCCCGCCCCCUUCCCGACCUUGUUUCAUAUGACCCCUCCCCCGCACAUACUCAAUUUCGUCUUCCCAAGGCGCCCACUCUCCACAUCCUGAUGAAAAAAAGAGCCGGCUGCUGUCCUAUGUUAUUGUCAUACUUCUUUCCUCCCGUGCACUACACAACUUGAACAACUUUUUUUUUUCUUUUUUUGAGAAAAGGUCUCGAACUGUCGCCCAGGCUGGAGUACAGUGGCACGAUGAUGGCUCACUGCAGCCUCGCCCUCUCUGGGCACAGGUGAUCCUCCUGCCUCAGCUUCCCAAGAAGCUGGUACUACAGGCGCGUGCCACCACUAUUGGCUAAUUUUAAUUUUUUUUUAACCACAGGGUCUCGCUAUGUUGCCCAGGCUGGUCUCGAACCCCUAGGCUCAAGGGAUCCUCUCACCUCAGCCUCCCAAAGCGUGAGAUUACAGGCGUGAGCCACCGCGCCCCGCGGUAAAUACUAUUCCAAGGAAAUGGCACCUGAGUUUGAGGAGAUUAAUCGGGUUUACUGCAGGGAAGGAGCAUUGGCCCUGGUGGCCAGAGGCAAGGGUACGAACCUGACCCUGCCCUUUCCCUGCCUGGUUCUGCCUUCAGCAAAUUGUUCCACACAUCUCUGGUUUCCUCCCCACAUGAUCCCAAGGCCCUGCUGGCUCUAGCCUUUGUGAGGCUAGAAUUACAAUUCCAUUCCUCCCCAGCCACGCCCCAUCUCUUGCUCCCUGUGCUAGCGCUUUCCCCAAUCAGCCACACUUUCCUUUCCCAUUCACUGAGCCUGUGGAAAGCCCUCUUAUUCUGAAUAUCUAGAUCCUAUUCACCUUUGAAGACCCGACUUGGCCACGUUUCUUCCCAAAGCCUACUGCAUGCCCUUUGUGGGAGGAACUGCUCUGUCCUUGCAACGCCACUGUGUGUAGUACUUUCUCUGUAUCUUACCAGUGGCAUCGCCCACUCUGCCUGGGGUGCUGUUCCAUACUUGCCCUUCUUCCAGUGCCAUCUAUGUGUGUGGUAAGACCUCAGCAUAGCACUUUGCCCACGGUAAAGGAUAUGGUUUCGGGAGUCCCAAGACCCGGGUCCACGUCCCAGCUCUGACACUAAAUGUGUUAUCUUGAACAUGUCACAUGGCCUUUCUGAGCUUAAUUUCCCCAAAUGUAAAAUGGAAAUAGUAACUUAUUUCAUAGUGUUGCUGUGUUGAUUAGAUGAGACAUUAUAUAAGAAAAUGCUUUGUGAAC
rnacentral:lncRNA from 1 species